rnacentral:lncRNA from 1 species
UUGGAAGGAAAAGUAAAUGAUAUUAGGCCAGAGACUGUGACCUUUUACAACUAAUAAACUUGGCAAAUUAAUAUCUUCUGUUCAGCAAGCAGCAUACAGCCUCCUUCAAAUUUGAGAAAGAAGGUUUGCCAUCGAUGGACGGGAAGUGCAUCUGGCCAGUAAAGGCUGAGCCUUGGGCAUAGUGAGUCCAGUCCCCCCUGUCAUGUCCACCAUUUCCUGGCUAACCCUGUCCCAUUCGAAACACUGAAGUAAUGACCCCAGAGUCAAUCCAACCAUGCGUAUGGCCAAACCUUCCCCAGGACAUCUCCUCCUUCCUGACCCGAAAGGCAUCAAUUUGAACCCAUCUCUAACUCCCACGGAACCUUCGAACCUUUCUGGCUUAAAUUUUGCUGCGUCGUC